rnacentral:rRNA from 1 species
UACGGAGGGUGCAAGCGUUAUCCGGAUUUACUGGGUUUAAAGGGUGCGCAGGCGGAUAUGUAAGUCAGUGGUGAAAUCUCCGGGCUUAACCCGGAAAUUGCCGUUGAUACUAUAUAUCUUGAAUGCUGUGGAGGUAAGCAGAAUAUGUCAUGUAGCGGUGAAAUGCUUAGAUAUGACAUAGAAUACCUAUUGCGAAGGCAGCUACUACGCAGAUAUUGACGCUCAUGCACGAAAGCGUGGGGAUCAAACAGG